rnacentral:lncRNA from 1 species
UUCCCACGUGUUGUGGGAGGGACCUGGUGGGAGGACCCUGUGGGAGAUGAUUGAAUCUUAGGGGCGGGUCUUUCCCGGGCUGUUGUCUUGAUAGUGAAAGGGACUCACGAGAUCUGAUGGUUUAAAAAAUGAGAAUUUCUCUGCACAACUCUCUUUUUGCCUGCCGCCAUCCGCAUAAGAUGGGACUUGUUCCUCCUUGCCUUCCGCCAUGACUGUGAGACCUCCUAGCCAUGUGGAACGUUGCACCUUCAAAUGCCAAGUAAGACAAAGAAACUGGCUCACUCCC